rnacentral:rRNA from 1 species
GACGAACGCUGGCGGCGUGCUUAACACAUGCAAGUCGAACGCUGAAGCUCAGCUUGCUGGGUGGAUGAGUGGCGAACGGGUGAGUAACACGUGAGUAACCUGCCCCCUUCUUUGGGAUAACGCCCGGAAACGGGUGCUAAUACUGGAUAUUCACUGAUCUUCGCAUGGGGGUUGGUGGAAAGGUUUUUUCUGGUGGGGGAUGGGCUCGCGGCCUAUCAGCUUGUUGGUGGGGUGAUGGCCUACCAAGGCUUUGACGGGUAGCCGGCCUGAGAGGGUGACCGGUCACAUUGGGACUGAGAUACGGCCCAGACUCCUACGGGAGGCAGCAGUGGGGAAUAUUGCACAAUGGGCGAAAGCCUGAUGCAGCGACGCCGCGGGAGGGAUGGAGGCCUUCGGGUUGUAAACCUCUUUCGCUCAUGGUCAAGCCGCAACAUUGGUUGUGGUGAGGGUAGUGGGUAAAGAAGCGCCGGCUAACUACGUG